GAUGAAGAACACACCAAAAGAGGACAAAAUAUGAAAAUUAAAGAUAAUACACUGUGAUGUAGAUAUACCACCUCUCUUCCUGGCAAGGCAAAGAGAUAAAGAAAGAGACUGUUGCAGGGUACAGCACAGAGGCUGAC